AGAGUGAACGCUGGCGGUAGGCCUAGCACAUGCAAGUCGAACGGCUGCACAGUGGUAGCAAUACCAUGGGUGGCGAGUGGCGGACGGGUGAGGAAUACAUCGGAAUCUACCUUUUCGUGGGGGAUAACGUAGGGAAACUUACGCUAAUACCGCAUACGCCCUUCGGGGGAAAGCCGGGGAUCGCAAGACCUGGCGCGGAUAGAUGAGCCGAUGUCGGAUUAGCUAGUUGGUGAGGUAAUGGCUCACCAAGGCGACGAUCCGUAGCUGGUCUGAGAGGAUGAUCAGCCACACUGGAACUGAGACACGGUCCAGACUCCUACGGGAGCAGCAGUGGGGAAUAUUGGACAAUGGGCGCAAGCCUGAUCCAGCCAUACCGCGUGGGUNAAGAAGGCCUCGGUUGUAAAGU
rnacentral:rRNA from 1 species